rnacentral:rRNA from 1 species
CUCGUGAAUUCAUCUCCGGGGGUAGAGCACUGUUUCGGCUAGGGGGCCAUCCCGGCUUACCAACCCGAUGCAAACUGCGAAUACCGGAGAAUGUUAUCACGGGAGACACACGGCGGGUGCUAACGUCCGUCGUGAAGAGGGAAACAACCCAGACCGCCAGCUAAGGUCCCAAAGUCAUGGUUAAGUGGGAAACGAUGUGGGAAGGCCCAGACAGCCAGGAUGUUGGCUUAGAAGCAGCCAUCAUUUAAAGAAAGCGUAAUAGCUCACUGGUCGAGUCGGCCUGCGCGGAAGAUGUAACGGGGCUAAACCAUGCACCGAAGCUGCGGCAGCGAACGUAUCACCCAAGACAACUUUACGGAGUUGACGAUUGACGGAGCGAAGCGACGUCAAAGCGUUCAUUAAAGUCGAGUUGGCUUAGGGAUACGUUCGUUGGGUAGGGGAGCGUUCUGUAAGCCUGUGAAGGUGUGUCGUGAGGCAUGCUGGAGGUAUCAGAAGUGCGAAUGCUGACAUAAGUAACGAUAAAGCGGGUGAAAAGCCCGCUCGCCGGAAGACCAAGGGUUCCUGUCCAACGUUAAUCGGGGCAGGGUGAGUCGACCCCUAAGGCGAGGCCGAAAGGCGUAGUCGAUGGGAAACGGGUUAAUAUUCCCGUACUUGGUGUUACUGCGAAGGGGGGACGGAGAAGGCUAUGUUGGCCGGGCGACGGUUGUCCCGGUUUAAGCGUGUAGGUGUGUGUUCCAGGUAAAUCCGGUUCACUUUAACACUGAGGCGUGACGACGAGGCACUACGGUGCUGAAGCAACAAAUGCCCUGCUUCCAGGAAAAGCCUCUAAGCAUCAGGUAACAUCAAAUCGUACCCCAAACCGACACAGGUGGUCAGGUAGAGAAUACCAAGGCGCUUGAGAGAACUCGGGUGAAGGAACUAGGCAAAAUGGUGCCGUAACUUCGGGAGAAGGCACGCUGACACGUAGGUGAAGUGAUUUACUCA